GAUGAACGCUGGCGGCGUGCCUAAUACAUGCAAGUCGAGCGAACAGACGAGGAGCUUGCUCCUCUGACGUUAGCGGCGGACGGGUGAGUAACACGUGGAUAACCUACCUAUAAGACUGGGAUAACUACGGGAAACCGGAGCUAAUACCGGAUAAUAUAUUGAACCGCAUGGUUCAAUAGUGAAAGACGGUUUUGCUGUCACUUAUAGAUGGAUCCGCGCCGCAUUAGCUAGUUGGUAAGGUAACGGCUUACCAAGGCGACGAUGCGUAGCCGACCUGAGAGGGUGAUCGGCCACACUGGAACUGAGACACGGUCCAGACUCCUACGGGAGGCAGCAGUAGGGAAUCUUCCGCAAUGGGCGAAAGCUUGACGGAGCAACGCCGCGUGAGUGAUGAAGGUCUUCGGAUCGUGAAACUCUGUUAUUAGGGAAGAACAAAUGUGUAAGUAACUAUGCACGUCUUGACGGUACCUAAUCAGAAAGCCACGGCUAACUACGUG
rnacentral:rRNA from 1 species